rnacentral:rRNA from 1 species
AAAAACCUAUUUAUAAUGGCGGCAUUUCAUCUUAUUAGAGGAACCUGUUUAAUAAUCGAUAAUCCACGAUAAUUUUCACUUUAAUUAAAAAUUUAUAUACCGCCAUCUUAAGAACUAAUUUAAAAAUAUUACUCUUAAUAAAAAAUAAAAAGUUAGGUCAAGGUGUAAUCUAUAUUAAAGUUAAAAAUGGGUUACAUUAAAAAAAAUUUAAGGAAUUCGUUAUUUCAAUAACUCACAAAAAAGGAUUUAAAAGUAAUUACUUAAUAAUAAUUAAUU